CUUUCAGGUGCAGAUGCAUUGCAUCCAUGGCAGAGCCCCCCAUCCUGGGUGAGGGGGUUCCCACAAGCAGGAAGUAUAGCUGGAUCCCAGCAGUCAAGUUCAAGAGAGCAAGGCAAUCCACUCGGAGCACGCCAAGCUCCCAUCCCCACCCGGCCGACGGACCGAAUUUUUCACCCUGAUGAGCCCCGUCUUCCGGGUAGCAGUCAGGAACCACCGAGGAGUUGCGGCGUACCCCACGAC